rnacentral:rRNA from 1 species
UACAGAGGGCUCGAGCGUUAGGCGGAAUCACUGGGCUUAAAGCGUGUGUAGGUGGAUGCCUAAGUACUUUGUGAAAUCCCAUGGCUUAACCAUGGAAUUGCUUGGUAUACUGGGUGUCUUGAGCCACUCAGGGGCUACUGGAACAAACGGUGGAGCGGUGAAAUGCGUAGAUAUCGUUUGGAACGCCAAUGGUGAAAACAAGUAGCUGGGGGUGUGCUGACACUGAGACACGAAAGCCAGGGGAGCAAACAGG